rnacentral:misc_RNA from 1 species
GAAAGUUCCAUAAAAAUCCCUAAACUUGAACUUUUUUUUUUUGUAGGAAAAGUCUCUCACUUGCAAUAGCCAGUUUAUAGGUUGAAAAAAGGAUAAUUUUUAUCCACCAUUUUAACCUGUAAACCAGUUAUUGUAGGUGAGAGAGACUUAUAUUGCAACAUAAUUGAAGUAUUGGAUUUUUAUGGAAUUUUUAAAAGUUAAGAGAUGGAAAUGAAACAAACCUCUUAGUUGAGGGAUGGUGGUUACAAAUUACCCAUUUAAGGAUUGGAUAAUUUAAAAUUUCAAUUCAACUCCUAUUAAGUUUUUACUCCUUAAAUCUCAUUAAUUUCCCAUCAAAUCUUGCAAUAUUAAGUGUGUAAAUGAAACAUUCCUCAAGUAAAAUGAGAUUAGAAGUUCAAUUUCUAUAGACAACAAUUAUUAUUAUUAUUAUUAUU